GCUCACAGCCAUAUCAACCUGCAGUUCUUGUCGGAUUUCCCACUGAAGCUAAGCAGGAUUGAGUCUGGCCAGUACCUGGAUAGGGGAAAACUAAGGCUGCUGCUGGAA
rnacentral:rRNA from 1 species